AUGCCUCGACUUGGAGACUCAGAAGCAUCUUCGGUCUUGAGAAUUGCAGCAGAGUUCGGGUACCUCUCUUCCAUCGUCGCAGGAUGCUGGUUUGAUAACAACCUAUAUAGAUACGGAAUGUGCUAUAUGCCCACCUUCUUAUAUUGGAGCAGAACCUGGCGGUGUCUCGGAGAUCCUUUCAUGGCUUGGAACCUUCUUUGGUUAGUUCUUGACAAAAUCGAUUCACCCAUGGCGCGGCCCUUUACUUGGGGGAGAAUUUAA
rnacentral:rRNA from 1 species